rnacentral:rRNA from 1 species
UUGAACGCUGGCGGCAGGCCUAACACAUGCAAGUCGAGCGGAUGAAGGGAGCUUGCUCCUGGAUUCAGCGGCGGACGGGUGAGUAAUGCCUAGGAAUCUGCCUGGUAGUGGGGGAUAACGUCCGGAAACGGGCGCUAAUACCGCAUACGUCCUGAGGGAGAAAGUGGGGGAUCUUCGGACCUCACGCUAUCAGAUGAGCCUAGGUCGGAUUAGCUAGUUGGUGGGGUAAAGGCCUACCAAGGCGACGAUCCGUAACUGGUCUGAGAGGAUGAUCAGUCACACUGGAACUGAGAAACGGUCCAGACUCCUACGGGAGGCAGCAGGGGGGAAUAUUGGACAAUGGGCGAAAGCCUGAUCCAGCCAUGCCGCGUGUGGGAAGAAGGUCUUCGGAUUGUAAAGCACUUUAAGUUGGGAGGAAGGGCAGUAAGUUAAUACCUUGCUGUUUUGACGUUACCAACAGAAUAAGCACCGGCUAACUUCGUG